UGAUUGGCUGUAAUUGUAUCAAAUCAUUGUCUUUAAAGGUGGAUGAAAAAGAGAAAUAAAGCUCAGGUGAGGAUAUUAAUUCGAUUAUUAGUAAUUUACUGAUCAGGUUAUUGAACUCAAACACUGAAAGUCUGAAUUUGUGGCUUUAUCUCUUGAGAUGAUUACAGACAUUAAUUAUUCUCUACCUAUUCUUUUUUUUAAUGGCAAAGGUCAAUCAUUCGGGACCUCAUCAUGACCGGCACAAAUCUUGCAAUAAUGAAUUGAAUGAACCUGUUUAUGCCAAUGAAAUGGCUGUUCUACGUGGCCCUGAUGUUUGUAAACCUGAACUGAACUCUUCUGUGUAUGAAAAUAUUCCAAAUAAAAAGAAGAGGAUGUAGUGUUUUGGACACACAGCAAACAUUUUACAUAUUGAUUUGUGGGCGGAGACCUGAAUGAUAGACAAGUGUGUGUAACUUUGCGCAAGAGUAAUUCCAGUGAACAGCUGAUAUAACUGCCUUGAAUUAUUCCCUUAAUAUUUUUAUUGUGGCCAUAAUAGCCAAAUCUUUUCUUAUCAUCACAGUGUGUCAGUUAUUAUUGCAGGGCAAAUUAAUUGUAAUUGAAUAAUAAAAGUAGGCCUUAUCUAAUAAUAAUAAUAAUAAUAAUAAUAAUAAUAAUAAUAGGCUUAAUAAGAAGAAUGUAACAGGUCUAAAUUAAUUGAAAAUGCCAAAUCUUCUUAAUAUUGCCUUAAUAUUCUUAAUAAUAUGUAUUGCUUUUCAACAAUGUCAUCUGCUGCUGGUGUUGGGCCAUUGUAGUAAUAAUAAUAACUAUUAUUAUUUUUAUUUUUAUAGGGCGGCCUAUUAUAACUCUGCUAUCAAACUGCCCAGCUAUUUCACUUCAGCACACCGUUUCACACACGAGGGGGUAUUCUUGUUCCUGUGGCGGUGCGACGAGCUCGUCAUGGGGCGCUUUAUGACUGAUGCACUGGAUCAAUUGAACUUUACUCCAAAUAUAUGAAUUUACCUGUUUUGAAAACUUUAUAUUUAACG